rnacentral:rRNA from 1 species
AGCAGCCGCCGCGGUAAUACGUAGGUCCCGAGCGUUGUCCGGAUUUAUUGGGCGUAAAGGGAGCGCAGGCGGUUUAGUAAGUCUGAAGUUAAAGGCAUUGGCUCAACCAAUGUAUGCUUUGGAAACUGUUAGACUUGAGUGCAGAAGGGGAGAGUGGAAUUCCAUGUGUAGCGGUGAAAUGCGUAGAUAUAUGGAGGAACACCGGUGGCGAAAGCGGCUCUCUGGUCUGUCACUGACGCUGAGGCGCGAAAGCGUGGGGAGCAAACAGGAUUAGAUACCCGCGUAGUCCCUGUCUCUUAUACA